GACCUUGUAGCUCAGUUGAUAGAGCAUCGGACUUGCAAACCAAAGGUUGUGAGUUCGAUUCUCACCGCGGUCA
rnacentral:tRNA from 1 species